rnacentral:lncRNA from 1 species
GUCACCUACCUCCGAUUUAUGAUCGGUUACAUGCGUUCCUUAUCCGCCAACAAACCAUGAUUUCGCACUCCAUCUCUUCACCUCCGAAUCUGAUUACUGUUUGAUUGAGUCUUGUUGUCGUCUCUGUAUUUGCUACAAUAAAUGAAAUAACGAAGAGAAAUUCAGUUAAUUUUAUCGCGUGACAGGACAACUAUUAUGUACUAAAUCGAAACAGUCAUUACGUUGCAGCACCACAUUGUAUUGAAACAACUCCGAAUUUCUGAUGUGGAGGGAACAAUUUAGAUGAUCUUCCAAACUCGCUGCUCGGUUCUAAGGCAAGUUUAAUGAACCGCAGAGAGCAGGUACAAAAUGCAUAUCAUAGCAAAAUUGCUAUUCAAGAAGAAGCUGAUAGUAAUGCAAAUUAGUACAAGAAGCUGUAAACAACUAACCUUAUAUUGAUUUGACAAAAAAAAAAAAAAACUAACCUUAUAUUGAAACUCAUUGUUCUAAAAAUCACCGCCUAGGUGCUAGGCGGCUGGCCACUGCCCCGAUUAAUGUCUAGACGUUUGAAAAUUAAGAAAGGGCACCUAGACUUGAUGAGGCAUCCGUGUAGCCCACCCAAACCUGCCUAGGCACCCGCUUAGGUUGCGACUCGCUUAGAUAGAAAAUAGAUAACUUUCAUUUUGUAUUUUAUUUUUUUCAAUAAAUUGUAAGAAACUUGCUAAAUAGUUAAAUGAACACACAUUAUAUGCUUAUUCCCUAUGUUUUCAUUAUGUUUCAAUACUUCAUAAUAUAUAUGUCAUUUUAUUUUGUAGUUUAUAAUGAAAAUAUAUAUAUUUUCAAUAUAAACAAACACUUAUUUACACGAAAUAUAAUAAUUUACUUAAAUCCGACUAGUCUGCCUAGGCACCUGCCUAGAC